AUUGAACGCUGGCGGCAGGCCUAACACAUGCAAGUCGAACGGUAACAGGAAGAAGCUUGCUUCUUUGCUGACGAGUGGCGGACGGGUGAGUAAUGUCUGGGAAACUGCCUGAUGGAGGGGGAUAACUACUGGAAACGGUAGCUAAUACCGCAUAACGUCGCAAGACCAAAGAGGGGGACCUUCGGGCCUCUUGCCAUCGGAUUUGCCCAGAUGGGAUUAGCUAGUAGGUGGGGUAACGGCUCACCUAGGCGACGAUCCCUAGCUGGUCUGAGAGGAUGACCAGCCACACUGGAACUGAGACACGGUCCAGACUCCUACGGGAGGCAGCAGUGGGGAAUAUUGCACAAUGGGCGCAAGCCUGAUGCAGCCAUGCCGCGUGUAUGAAGAAGGCCUUCGGGUUGUAAAGUACUUUCAGCGGGGAGGAAGGGAGUAAAGUUAAUACCUUUACUCAUUGACGUUACCCGCAGAAGAAGCACCGGCUAACUCCGUG
rnacentral:rRNA from 1 species